rnacentral:lncRNA from 1 species
AGACCAAGACUCCAACUAGGAAAAAAAAGUAUGUAUUUAUCAUGUACCACAUGAUGUUUUUAAGUAUAUACAUCACAGAAUGACAUGUCUAGCUAAUUAACAUAUGUAUUAACUCAUCAUAUUAUUAUUAUAGUGAUGAGAACACUUUACAUCCACUCUCUUAUGUCAAGAAUACAUAGAUUACUAACUGUAGUCAUUAUGCUGUACAGUAGAGCCACUUUUAGAUAUUUGUUUUAUUGAACAUUUUAUUUCCAUUAAAUGAAAUAGUAUAGGAACACAAUGAAAACACAGAGAUGUUUAAGUACUUUCAUUUUCAAAUAAAAUGACAUGUUGAUUUAUUAACUGAAUCAAAAAGCUAAGUACAACUUAAAACAAUAAAUACUAUUCUUUCAUUAAAUUUUAUUAGUAGUUAGUAAUGCAAAGACUAUUUUAAAAGCUAGUGCAUAUAGUGCUCUCUACUGGCCUUAUCUUUAUUACAACUACAAUCAGUGUCGAGUUUGUAGUUAUAUGGGAACCAUCAUGAAAAUCUUCUAUACUGCAACUACAAUCAUCGUCAAAUUUGUAGUUAUGUAGGAAACAUCAUGAUAAACUUCUGUCUCCGAAGACUAAUAGUAUUUUAAUUUUAAUUUCUUUUUGUUUUCUCCUUUAGGGGUGUGUGUGUGUAUAUGUAUGUGCAUUCAAAAACAUUCAUUCUUGAACUUCUAUACUGAAGUCAGUUGUGAAUUCUGCAAAUAAGUUGCUGGCAUACAUCAUCACAAAUAAUCAUGUAAUAAAGAGAAAAUACAAAAAAGAUGGAUGUAGAACAAUAACCGAACUGAAAACAUUAUGCCUUACAUAAGUCAGUAGCAGCUACAAUGCUUGCUUUUAUUGUCUUUGGAGAAAACAAGUGAAGGCCUCCCAGGAGCAGAAUGGAGCACUGAACUGAUUUGGAGCAGAUGAUCUUUCCCAUCAUGACUGCCUGACUGAGUAAACGUGGAUGGAGGAAACCCUCAUGACUCCAGGAAACUUCCUGUUCAGGAUUUUCCAAUGUGGCCAUCAUUUUUCUAAAGCAAUACACUGCUAAUUCUAUAUUGUUUUAUGAUUAAUGUUUAGUACAUGAUUCUAGGCCUACUAAAAUAUUUGAAGCUGAUUUUUACUUCUUUAUUUCUAUUUGAUGUUACUUACUAUGCACCCAUAUACAUUGAUUCUGUCUUUGGUGCACACAGAGAGAAAGCAACUCAAAAAAAAAAAAAAAAAGAAAAGAAAAGAAAGAAAGACAGCCCUGAUAUUGACAAAUAUAUCAUAGAACAAGUUGCAUCCAUCUGAACAUGUUGCUCCAGAAUCAAGACAAAAUAUGAAAACAUUUUUGAGCCAUAAUGGAAUUUGAUACUCAUUACGAGUAUCAAAUUUAACCAACAGUGGAAAAUGAAAUGAGACCCAGAGAGAUUAUAUCAACUGCCCCACUAUUCCUAGUUGGUGAGGAACAGGGCUGAGACUGAAGUCCAAGUUUCAACCAGUCCAGUGCCCUUUAUACUACACUGUGUUAUUACACUAGAUUGUAAAUUCCACAAGUAGAGGGACAAUGUUUGUUUGCCACUGCAUAUUCAUUGCUUGGCAUUUUACUGAUACCCAAUAAAUAUUUGUGAAUAAAAGAAGUAGAAGGCCAGCACAGUGGCUCACGCCUGUAAUCCCAGCACUUUGGGAGGCCAAAGCAGGUGGAUUGUUUGAGCCCAGGAGUUCAAGAACAGUCUGGACAACAUGGUGAAUCCCCGACUCUACAAAAAAAAAAAAAAAUACAAAAAUUAGCUCAGCAUGGUGGUGCGGCCUGUAGUCCCAGCUCCUUCAGGUGGGGUUUGAGGCAGGAGGAUCACUUGAACCCAGGAGGUCAAGACUGAAGUGAGCCAUGAUCACACCACUGCACUCCAGCCUGGGCAAUAGAGCAAGAUCCUGUCCCAAAAUAUAAAUAAAUACAUAAAUAAAAGAAUGAGUAAGAGAACAAUAUACUGCCCAGCAAAUAAUCUCCAUUUAAAAUACAUUUUACAAUGGAAAAUCAGUUCAACUACAGUUAUUAACUGCUCACUUUGUACAAGAUGUUUUAUCUACUAUGUUCUAUGGAGAUUUACAAGAAAAAAAUAAAUAAAAUGUGGCCCUUGCCCUACAGGAACUUAAUAUUUAUCACAAUUCUCUGCAAAACAGGGUAGGACAUGGUAAGCACCACCAUAUAUAAGAGAUAUGAACACAGUAUUACAUGGAACAUGGAAAGCUUCAUGAAUAUGGUGGUAUUUAUGCUGGAUCUUUUAAAACAGAAGAGUUUUUAGGUGGAGGUAGGAUUGAAAAACAUUUCAGUUGAACUAAACAGAAUGUCUAAAUGUACACUCAGGAAAUGAUGGUAUGUGUUUUAUUAUUGAAACAGUCUACUUGUCUGGAACAUGGGAGACAUGAAGGAAAGUGGAAACCUGUGAAAAGUAGAAAGAAGCUGGUAGAAAAGGGAAAAGAAAGAUACCACAGGGGGCUCUGAGAGUUACCUUAAGGAGCUUAAGAUUCAUUCAGUCUAAAGCUUUUUGAGCAGGAAGGUGACAGGAGGUCCUUCUUGCCAGUGUAUUAAAACUUAUUAUAGAAAAAUGAUGAUGAAUUUUAAAAAGGUAUAAUUACAGAAUGUCAAACAAAAUUAUCCACAUGAACUAAUGAUAUUCUAUGUUAAUAUGAAGAGAAGAGAUUCAUUCUCAGGUC